rnacentral:rRNA from 1 species
AUUGAACGCUGGCGGCAGGCCUAACACAUGCAAGUCGAGCGGAUGAAGGGAGCUUGCUCCUGGAUUCAGCGGCGGACGGGUGAGUAAUGCCUAGGAAUCUGCCUGGUAGUGGGGGAUAACGUCCGGAAACGGGCGCUAAUACCGCAUACGUCCUGAGGGAGAAAGUGGGGGAUCUUCGGACCUCACGCUAUCAGAUGAGCCUAGGUCGGAUUAGCUAGUUGGUGGGGUAAAGGCCUACCAAGGCGACGAUCCAUAACUGGUCUGAGAGGAUGGUCAGUCACACUGGAACUGAGACACGGUCCAGACUCCUACGGGAGGCAGCAGUGGGGAAUAUUGGACAAUGGGCGAAAGCCUGAUCCAGCCAUGCCGCGUGUGUGAAGAAGGUCUUCGGAUUGUAAAGCACUUUAAGUUGGGAGGAAGGGCAGUAAGUUAAUACCUUGCUGUUUUGACGUUACCAACAGAAUAAGCACCGGCUAACUUCGUG